UACGAAGGGGGCUAGCGUUGCUCGGAAUCACUGGGCGUAAAGCGCACGUAGGCGGCUUUUUAAGUCAGGGGUGAAAUCCUGGAGCUCAACUCCAGAACUGCCUUUGAUACUGAGAAGCUUGAGUCCGGGAGAGGUGAGUGGAACUGCGAGUGUAGAGGUGAAAUUCGUAGAUAUUCGCAAGAACACCAGUGGCGAAGGCGGCUCACUGGCCCGGUACUGACGCUGAGGCGCGAAGGCGUGGGGGAGCGAACGGGA
rnacentral:rRNA from 1 species